rnacentral:lncRNA from 1 species
AUGCAGAAAAAAAAAAAAAAGAAAGAAAGAAAGGGAACUUUCUCAGCCAGAGAACGUCUCAAAUCCUUAACAACUCUGCUUAUAUUUACCACCAUACCUGUAAUAGUUACCUUGCCUGAGCAAUUUGGGGGCUUGGGGCAGAAUUUGGGGCCAGUGUCCAUGACCAUUCACUGCUGGAACCAGGUUUAUUGGAAGAAUUUCCUGAAAGUGCUUCCCCCAUGUAAGUCCUCACAUUUAUUGUUAAAUCCCCCAUUCUACUCAUGGUCCUUAGUCUAGAGCCUAAGCCAUAGCCGAGAAGGGCUCCACUGUUAAAGAAACCAGUGGAAAAUAACAUACUAUAAAUGCAAAAAUCAUUAAAGUAAUACUUUAUAAGAUACAUUCGUUAGACACAUUCUGAGUAAACUGAACACUUUAACCUUGAGGAGGCACAGGAAAAAAAUAUGUCCUUGGCUUGGUGAUUGUUAGGGGAGAGUUUACCCUGUGAAUGAUAUGGCUUUAUAUCAAAAAAUAAACUAGGAUUUCAAGAUCCCAGAGAACAGAGCCUUAAAUAAUGUGUUGAGAUAGUAACUUAAAAGAUAUCUGGAGCCUAUGCAAACUCAGAGUCAGAAAUUAUAUAUUUCUUUCUCCUCCUCAUAAAACAUACUCCACAAUAGAACAUUUCACCUUUCAUCUUAAAACAUUUCUCUUCUCCUUUCCUCUGCCUCAUAAAUAACAGUAGUGAAGGAGAAAAAUUAAGUUGGUAUCCACAUUGUCUGAGAUGUGUUUCAGAGGACAAUUACUUUCUAUAGCAGACUUCAGAUCAAAAUGGCAUCAUGUUUUCAUGAAUUAGGUCAAGGUGCCUUGUGUCACAACCCGAAUAGUGUUGUAAGACAAAAUGCUGUUUCCUGCCACAUGCAGCUCAGAACUCUUGAAACACCAGGAGCAGAUAAAACCUUGACACAUCAAGGGUAGCCAACUACUCAGGUAACAGGGAUGGGAGUGGGGGUGGGCACAUCUUUACCUGCUAUGGGAAUCUCAGAAUCACAUAGUGCCUUAUUCACCUGUCAACGCUCUAAAAGCUGGCUGGAUAAGGGGAGACCAGAUUGGAAAAGCCUUGACCAUGUGUGAAGAUGAGAUGAGUUUUAACAAAAGGAAUUUAGGGAAAUUAAACUCAAUUAAAAUUGACCAAAUACCCCCUAUAUGGAAGAUGCAGAAUUUAUUUAAGAAUUUUACUAGAAAGAGAGGAGACAAACAUGCUAAUGUGCACUAAUAGGUCUAAUAAGCUACAAACUGAGUUAGCACAGAGCAGGUGGGGGUAGAGACAAUUGGGAUGGUUCACCAAGAAGGCCAUCUUUGAACUAGGGUUUUAAAGACUGAAUAGAAGUUCUCUGGCUAAACAAAAUAAAGGGGAUAAUCUAGGAAGAGAGAACAUUUAUCCAGUCACACAACACAAUGUAUUUGUGGGAGGGAGCAUAGGAGAGUAUCCUUUUACAUUUAUAAAUACCUAAGGGUAUCCACAC